GACGAACGCUGGCGGCGUGCUUAACACAUGCAAGUCGAACGGUAAGGCCCUUCGGGGUACACGAGUGGCGAACGGGUGAGUAACACGUGGGUGAUCUGCCCUGCACUUCGGGAUAAGCCUGGGAAACUGGGUCUAAUACCGGAUAGGACCACUGCCUGCAUGGGUGGUGGUGGAAAGCCUUUGCGGUGUGGGGUGGGCCCGCGGCCUAUCAGCUUGUUGGUGGGGUGAUGGCCUACCAAGGCGACGACGGGUAGCCGGCCUGAGAGGGUGACCGGCCACACUGGGACUGAGAUACGGCCCAGACUCCUACGGGAGGCAGCAGUGGGGAAUAUUGCACAAUGGGCGCAAGCCUGAUGCAGCGACGCCGCGUGAGGGAUGACGGCCUUCGGGUUGUAAACCUCUUUCAGCACCGACGAAGCGCAAGUGACGGUAGGUGCAGAAGAGGGACCGGCCAACUACGUGCCAGCAGCCGCCGUAA
rnacentral:rRNA from 1 species